UACGUAGGGUGCAAGCGUUUAUCCGGAAUUAUUGGGCGUAAAGAGCUCGGUAGGCGGUUUGUCGCGUCUGCUGUGAAAACUGGAGGCUCAACCUCCAGCCUGCAGUGGGUACGGGCAAACUAGAGUGCGGUAGGGGGAGAUUGGAAUUCCUGGUGUAGCGGUGGAAUGCGCAGAUAUCAGGAGGAACACCCGUGGCGAAGGCGGCUCUCUGGGACGGUACUGACACUGAGACGCGGAAAGCGUGGGGAGCGAACAGG
rnacentral:rRNA from 1 species